CAGCAAUCCCAAAAGGAUCCACAGACCCUCUGAAGGAAGCAAACUGCUCCUGCAGGACCCGGGAGACCCCCCCAAAACUUGUGGCAGCCAGAAGAAAAGCAGAUUUUUCCUGUGGGUGGAAACCAUAUGCUUCUGAGUAGCAGCAGAGAUCAAAUUCAACUCCUCUGUCACAGCCUGCUCCGUUCAACUCUCUUUCCAGCAUCCUCCUUUCAAAGAAGUUCCCAGACACCAAAAGUUUGCUUUGAAAGCAUUUAAAAUCGGAGAGCUUUAGUGAAGCUAAAGUUUCCCGAGAAGUUAUGCCCAAGAACUGACAUCACAGCAUUAACCCUUAUCUUUAAACUCGGGUCAUUCCUGUUCUCACAUUGUCUAAAUGUACCAGAAGCUUCUUUUCUUUCCUUUAAAGAUUUUGACUUUUGAAAAGAAUUUUACAAGUUCAAAGCACAGUGCACUGCAACUCUGCCAACUUGUGAUAUGUUCCGCCUUCCCCCGGCCAGUGGAGACUGAGAACCUUUCAAGUCAGAAUGAGUUCGAUAUGUGAAGAGAGAAUGAAAGAAAACUCCAAAGAGGCUCAGAGCAGCAGCUGCCCUUACUAAGAACUGUUGCUGGGAAUUCAGCGAAGAAGGAAAUGCAUGUGCCACAAAUAGAAAUUCUACUGAGGAGAAAAACCAAGACGCCGUCUGCCUUGUAAAAUUCCAACCCAUGUUGGUUUGAAGUAUGGUCUGUAGUGAUAAAUACAGAAGGAUAAAUACAGAAAAACGGAAAAUUAAGAGAAACCUAAGCAAAAGGUGGAGCAAUUUUUAUGAGAUGACAAGCUCUGUCUGACUCAGAUAGCCAUGGAGAAAUGGAGAUAGUCAGAAGGAAUGGAUAUGCUGAGGAAAAAAGCGAUCAAGACACACAUGUCAGAGAAGUGUCACAUUGAUUUCGACAGACUGUAAUCUUUUUCCGUUUUUUAAAAAACACUGAUAGAGUAGAUAGUUUGAUAUCCACUCUGAAACUAUCAAUUUAACAGCUACUGAAGCACGGAGUAACGAGAUGUCAGAGUCUUCCAGUCAACUUUUAGGUUUGUUGAAAGUUCCAUCCAUGAAAAAACUGGAAAUUGGAGGGAAGAAGGGAUGGAUAGAUGUUUUGUCUUAUAGGAACAAAAAGAAGACAUAUAAAAUUGAACUUUUGCGAGGAAGGAAAGUCUAAGACAAGGAAUAGAAAGUCUAGCAUAUUUUAAACCAUAAUUAAAGGAAAUGUUAAUCCAGACAACUUUCGGAGAAGCAAAAACUUGUAUUUAUUCCUCUCUGAGCCGAAAUGGUUUUUGUCUAUGUAUAACAGCGUUUCUCGG
rnacentral:lncRNA from 1 species